UGGGAGAUCGUCUAAUGGUAGGACUUGCGGUUCUGGUCCGUACAAUUGGGGUUCGAAUCCCUGUCUCCCAGCCA
rnacentral:tRNA from 2 species